UCUGUUGAUGGGGCCCCGCCAAAGCUGACGUAGACAGGUCCAGCCUCCAGGUGCCCCCACACCGUUUUCUUGCAUUAUGAAGCUGAGCAGCUUCUCUCUACUCUCUGUGAUCAUCCUCCUUUGCCUCUGCAUGACUCAGCCUGGAGUCUUGAGGAGUGCAGCUGCACGGAAACCGGGAUAUUGCCCAGAGUUUGAUCUUGACUGCCCUUUCACUCUGUUACCUAUGUGCUGGCGCGAUAAGAGUUGCAAGGGGGUCAAGAAGUGUUGCUACUACAACUGUCAGCAUCAGUGUAUGGAGCCCUGGUGGACUUUGGAUUGAGGUGGAAAGUCCUUCUUAACCAGGACUGAUGAGACACAAGUGCUACAGGCUCAGACUGGGAUAACUGGUCUCCAUGUUGUCCAUGAUCGCUCAGGC